GUGCAUCAGGAAGGCGACAAUCCUCAUGUAAACAACAACACUGACCAAAUGAUAAACGAUGGAAUGUUCCGAGGCUUCAUGCAAUUCAUGCAACAUCAGGAGAGAGUGGCUCCUGUCCAAAAUGCAGGUGGAAACACUGGCAACUUUCGGACGGCCACCGCCAAACAGUUCAAAGAGCUGGGACCACCGGAGUUUUUUGGAGAGCC
rnacentral:lncRNA from 1 species